UUUUAAUAUAUCUAGUUUUUUAAGAAAUAAAUUUAAUUUAGAUGUUUUUUUUUAAUAAUUUAAUUUUAAAAAUUAUUAUAAGAAAUCAUUAAUAUUUUAAGGGAUGAGCUUUAAAAUAAAAUUUUAUAAAUAACUGUUAUUAAGUAAUAAUUGUAAGCUUAGAAUUAGCUAUCAAUAGAAAUUAUGUUUUAAUUUAUUUUUUAUUUAAUAUUAUUUAUUAUUUAUUUUAAAUUUUUUAUUAAAAUAUAAAUUUUAAUUUUAUAAAUUUAUUAAUAAUGAUAAAAUUAGUAAAUAUUUAUAAUUAUAUAAAUAAAUCUUUAAUUGAUUGGUUUUUAUAAUUAAUUCGGCAAAUUUUGUGCUCACCUGUUUAUCAAAAACAUGUCUUUUUGGUUAUUUAAUAUAAAGUCUGACCUGCCCACUGAAUUUAUUUUGAAGGGCCGCAGUAUUUUGACUGUGCAAAGGUAGCAUAAUCAUUAGUCUUUUAAUUGAAGGCUGGUAUGAAUGGUUGGAUGAGGUACAAGCUGUGUCAUAAAAAUUAGUUUUUGAAUUUACCUUUUUAGUCAAAAGGCUAAAAUAGUAUUAAAAGACGAGAAGACCCUAUAGAGCUUUAUAUAAUUUUUAUUUAAAUUAUUAAGAUUUCUUAAAUUUAAUUAUUUCAUUAUAUUUUGUUGGGGUGACAAUAAAAUUUAUAAAACUUUUAUUUUUAUUUACCAUUAAUAUAUGUUUAUAUGAUCCAGUUUUAUUGAUUAUAAAUUUAAGUUACCUUAGGGAUAACAGCGUAAUUUUUUUUGAGAGUUCUUAUCGACAAAAAAGAUUGCGACCUCGAUGUUGGAUUAAGAGUAAUUUUGGGUGUAGAAGUUCAAAGUUUAAGUCUGUUCGACUUUUAAAUUCUUACAU
rnacentral:rRNA from 2 species